rnacentral:lncRNA from 1 species
UUUUUUUUUUUUUUUUUUGAGACGGAGUCUCGCUCUGCCGCCCAGGCUGGAGUGCAGUGGCACGAUCUCGGCUCACUACAAGCUCCGCCUCCCAGGUUCACGCCAUGCUGCUGCCUCAGCCUCCAGAGUAGCUGGGACUACAGGCGCCCGCCACCACACCCAGCUAAUUUUUUGUAUUUUUAGUAGAGAUGGGUUUCACCAUGUUAGUCAGGAUGGUCUCUAUCUCUCGACCUCGUGAUCUGCCCGUCUCGGCCUCCCAAAGUGCUAGGAUUACAGGCGUGAGCCACCGCGCCUGGCUGUGAAUUUUUAGAAAUUGUAUGUAUUUUUGUUUUGUUUUGUUUUGUUUUUCCCAGAGUGCAAUUUGAAAAAAUAUUUGUGUAAAAGAGAGACACUAAAGUUUUUGCUUGCUCCUGUGCGCAUGGCCUGUGUCCUGGGGUGCAGGCGUCUGGGAGGAAAGGAGGCCUUCCUUUGAGAGAUGACAUUACCCCGUGGUUUCUAAGGGGGAAACACAUCACUGGGGAGUUGAAGUGGGUCUGUCCCCUUCCCUGUGUCAGGGGCCUGCUCAGGGCAGUGGUUCCUGCCUUCAUGAGGAGGCUUUCGUGAUUUUAAGGGGCCGGUGGUCUUCAGUUCGGAAACAGGCCUGCAGAGUAGGGUGUGGGUCCCAGGAGGUGCUCUGGUCAAAGCCGCAUUUCUAAGCAAGGGGGAGGCUGAGGUCUCCUUUGCAGUCCCCUGUGUCACGUAGGCCUCCGGGCGGUGGACACUCAGUGGGGUUUGGGUGCACAGGGUAUGCAGGGCGUUGUAACUCCUGUGAAAGACACCAGAGGGGAGUGGGACUGGCAGGCGAGCCUCAGACCCAGGCCCCAAGCAAAGGCUGGUGGCCAGGAGCAUGGGGCCGCGUACCCUGCCUGCUUGGACUGGCUGGGAUGCCUGAAGAGGGCAGCCUCGGCUUGCAUCCCAACAGCCUCCACUUGGUCUCUCUCUGUCUCUGCUCCUUCCUCAGCCAGGACCUUGGAGCUCCUCAGACUCUGACACUUGCUGAGAGGGUGCGAAGCAUGGACCACAGCUCACAGCUCUCACCUGCCCAGGCCCUGCACUGGGCUUUGCAGGUCCACAAUCUCCACCACGCAGCCACUGCACAGUGCAGUUACUGUUGCCCCACUUUGCAGGAGAGAUAAGAUCUGGACUCACACCCAGGGCUGCUACUCUGUGCAGACACUUCCCCACCGGCUGGCGCUGGCCUGCUCUUGUGACCUUGACUUUGACCUCCAGGCUGAUGAGGCCAGGCUCCUCUGGCAGUUGCUCUCUACUCUCUGCUGACCCCUGGGAUGGGGGAUGGAUGUGUUACAGGAAACGGGUCCGGAUCCAGACACCAAGAGGGGGUUCUUGGAGCUUGCACAAGAAAUAAUUCAGGGCAAGUCCGUAAAGUGAAAGCAAGUUUAUUAGGAAAAUAAAGGAAUUAAGAAUGGCUACUCCAUAGACAGAGCAGCCCCAGGACUGCUGGUCGCUCAUUUUUAUGAUUAUUUCUUGAUGAUAUGCUAAACAAGGGGUGGCUUAUUCAUGCCUCCCUUUUUUAGACCAAUAGGGUAACUUCCUGAUGUUGCCCUGGCGUUUGUAAACUGUCAUGGUGCUGGUGGGAGUAUAGCAAUGAGGACGGUCAGAGGUCACUCUUGUCUCCAUCUUGGUUUUGGUGAGUUUUAUCCAGCUUCUUUACUGCAACCUGUUUUAUCAGCAAGUUCUUUAUGACCUGUGUUUGUGC